rnacentral:rRNA from 1 species
UACGAAGGGGGCUAGCGUUGUUCGGAAUUACUGGGCGUAAAGCGCACGUAGGCGGACUCUUAAGUCGGUUGUGAAAUCCUGGAGCUCAACUCCAGAACUGCCUUCGAUACUGAGAGUCUCGAGUCCGAGAGAGGUGAGUGGAACUGCGAGUGUAGAGGUGAAAUUCGUAGAUAUUCGCAAGAACACCAGUGGCGAAGGCGGCUCACUGGCCCAUAACUGACGCUGAGGCACGAAAGCGUGGGGAGCAAACAGG